AAUUCGAUUAGUUUGAUCAUGGCUCAGAACGAACGCUGGCGGCAUGCCUAACACAUGCAAGUCGAACGAGACCUUCGGGUCUAGUGGCGCACGGGUGCGUAACGCGUGGGAAUCUGCCCUUAGGUACGGAAUAACAGUGAGAAAUUACUGCUAAUACCGUAUGAUGUCUUCGGACCAAAGAUUUAUCGCCUAGGGAUGAGCCCGCGUUGGAUUAGCUAGUUGGUGGGGUAAAGGCCUACCAAGGCGACGAUCCAUAGCUGGUCUGAGAGGAUGAUCAGCCACACUGGGACUGAGACACGGCCCAGACUCCUACGGGAGGCAGCAGUGGGGAAUAUUGGACAAUGGGCGGAAGCCUGAUCCAGCAAUGCCGCGUGAGUGAAGAAGGCCUUAGGGUUGUAAAGCUCUUUUACCCGGGAAGAUAAUGACUGUACCGGGAGAAUAAGCCCCGGCUAACUCCGUGCCAGCAGCCGCGGUAAUACGGAGGGGGCUAGCGUUGUUCGGAAUUACUGGGCGUAAAGCGUCCGUAGGCGGCUUUCCAAGUCAGAGGUGAAAUCCCACGACUCAAUCGUGGAACUGCCUUUGAGACUGGUUCGCUUGAAGAUGGGAGAGGUUAGUGGAAUUCCGAGUGUAGAGGUGAAAUUCGUAGAUAUUCGGAAGAACACCAGUGGCGAAGG
rnacentral:rRNA from 1 species